rnacentral:rRNA from 1 species
UACGAAGGGUGCAAGCGUUAAUCGGAAUUACUGGGCGUAAAGGGUGCGUAGGCGGCGUGGCAAGUCUGAUGUGAAAUCCCGGGGCUCAACCCCGGAACUGCAUUGGAUACUGCCAUGCUAGAGUACUGGAGAGGAGAUUGGAAUUUACGGUGUAGCAGUGAAAUGCGUAGAUAUCGUAAGGAAGACCAGUGGCGAAGGCGAAUCUCUGGACAGUUACUGACGCUGAGGCACGAAGGCCAGGGGAGCAAACGGG